rfam:Bombyx mori DNA, contig: Bm_scaf95_contig35203, strain: p50T/Dazao, build 2, whole genome shotgun sequence.
UUAACUGAAAUUUGUAUGGAGUCGGAACGUCUCCCUCCGUUUGCCGCUAGGGGCGCUGUUCCAACUGCAUACAAAUUUGAGUUA